rnacentral:rRNA from 1 species
AUUGAACGCUGGCGGCAGGCUUAACACAUGCAAGUCGAGCGGAGAUGAGGUGCUUGCACCUUAUCUUAGCGGCGGACGGGUGAGUAAUGCUUAGGAAUCUGCCUAUUAGUGGGGGACAACAUUCCGAAAGGAAUGCUAAUACCGCAUACGUCCUACGGGAGAAAGCAGGGGAUCUUCGGACCUUGCGCUAAUAGAUGAGCCUAAGUCGGAUUAGCUAGUUGGUGGGGUAAAGGCCUACCAAGGCGACGAUCUGUAGCGGGUCUGAGAGGAUGGUCGGCCCCACUGGGACUGAGACACGGCCCAGACUCCUACGGGAGGCAGCAGUGGGGAAUAUUGGACAAUGGGGGGAACCCUGAUCCAGCCAUGCCGCGUGUGUGAAGAAGGCCUUAUGGUUGUAAAGCACUUUAAGCGAGGAGGAGGCUACUGAGACUAAUACUCUUGGAUAGUGGACGUUACUCGCAGAAUAAGCACCGGCUAACUCUGUGCCAGCAGCCGCAGUAAAAC